UCGGGUCGGGCCGAGCGGUCUGCCGAUGGGUAUGCACUGUUUGGCGCGGCCUUCUUUCCGGAGACCGCGGCUACUCUUAACUGAGCGGGCGUGGGAGACGGAUCGUUUACUUUGAAAAAAUCAGAGUGUUUCAAGCAGGCAGCUCGCUCUUGCAUGGUACAGCAUGGGAUGAUUGAAUAGGACUCCGGUGCUAUUUUGUUGGUUUCGAACACCAGGAGUAAUGAUUAACAGGGACAGUCAGGGGCACUCGUAUUCCGUCGAGAGAGGUGAAAUUCUCAGACCAAUGGAAGACGAACCACUGCGAAAGCAUUUGCCAGGGAUGUUUUCACUGAUCAAGAACGAAAGUUAGGGGAUCGAAGACGAUCAGAUACCGUCGUAGUCUUAACCAUAAACCAUGCCGACUAGGGAUUGGAGGGUGUUCGUUUCGACCUCUUCAGCACCUUACGGGAAACUAAAGUCUUUGGGUUCCGGGGGGAGUAUGGUCGCAAGGCUGAAACUUAAAGGAAUUGACGGAAGGGCACCACCAGGAGUGGAGCCUGCGGCUUAAUUUGACUCAACACGGGGAAACUUACCAGGUCCAGACAUUGAUAGGAUUGACAGAUUGAGAGCUCCUUUCUUGAUUCCAUGGGUGG
rnacentral:rRNA from 1 species